UACAGAGGUCUCAAGCGUUGUUCGGAUUCAUUGGGCGUAAAGGGUGCGUAGGUGGGCAAGUAAGUCAGUGGUGAAAUCUCCGGGCUUAACCCGGAAACUGCCAUUGAUACUAUUUGUCUUGAAUACUGUGGAGGUCAGCGGAAUAUGUCAUGUAGCGGUGAAAUGCUUAGAUAUGACAUAGAACACCAAUUGCGAAGGCAGCUGGCUACACAAAUAUUGACACUGAGGCACGAAAGCGUGGGGAUCAAACAGG
rnacentral:rRNA from 1 species